rnacentral:rRNA from 1 species
UACAGAGGUCCCAAGCGUUGUUCGGAUUCAUUGGGCGUAAAGGGUGCGUAGGCGGGUCUUUAAGUCAGGGGUGAAAUCCUGGAGCUCAACUCCAGAACUGCCUUUGAUACUGAAGAUCUUGAGUCCGGGAGAGGUGAGUGGAACUGCGAGUGUAGAGGUGAAAUUCGUAGAUAUCGUAAGGAAGACCAGUGGCGAAGGCGGGUCACUGGACAGUUCCUGACGCUGAGGCACGAAGGUCAGGGGAGCAAACGGG